GGGGAAUCUUAGACAAUGGGCGCAAGCCUGAUCUAGCCAUGCCGCGUGGACGAUGAAGGCCUUAGGGUUGUAAAGUCCUUUCAGAUGGGAAGAUAAUGACGGUACCAUCAGAAGAAGCCCCGGCUAACUCCGUGCCAGCAGCCGCGGUAAUACGGAGGGGGCUAGCGUUGUUCGGAAUUACUGGGCGUAAAGCGCGCGUAGGCGGACUGGAAAGUCAGAGGUGAAAUCCCAGAGCUCAACUUUGGAACUGCCUUUGAAACUAUCAGUCUGGAGUUCGAGAGAGGUGAGUGGAAUUCCGAGUGUAGAGGUGAAAUUCGUAGAUAUUCGGAGGAACACCAGUGGCGAAGGCGGCUCACUGGCUCGAUACUGACGCUGAGGUGCGAAAGCGUGGGGAGCAAAC
rnacentral:rRNA from 1 species